rnacentral:rRNA from 1 species
CAACCUACCUUGUAGAUUGGGAUAACUCCGGGAAACCGGGGCUAAUACCGAAUAAUCCAUUUUGCUUCAUGGCGAGAUGUUAAAAGGCGGCUUCGGCUGUCACUACGAGAUGGGCCCGCGGCGCAUUAGCUAGUUGGUAGGGUAAUGGCCUACCAAGGCGACGAUGCGUAGCCGACCUGAGAGGGUGAUCGGCCACACUGGGACUGAGACACGGCCCAGACUCCUACGGGAGGCAGCAGUAGGGAAUCUUCCACAAUGGACGAAAGUCUGAUGGAGCAACGCCGCGUGAGUGAAGAAGGUUUUCGGAUCGUAAAACUCUGUUGUAAGGGAAGAACACGUACGAGAGUAACUGCUCGUACCUUGACGGUACCUUAUUAGAAAGCCACGGCUAACUACGUG